AUAUGAAUCAAUGAAUCAAUAUGCACUUAUUAAUAUAUAAUUAUUAUAUUGAUUUGUAAUCAACAGGAUGGACUCAGGAUCCAGAUAAAAUUAUAAGACGGAAUCACUUCUCGGAUGGCCUUAUUCUGUCUCCCAGAUAUCUUGUCACUUGAAAGGACCUCUGACCUCGUCACCAUGGAGGAAGUAGUGUCCGCUCUUUGGAAAUGUGGAAACCUUGUAGCAUCCUGGAGUGUUCUUCCUUCCCUUGAUAUUUGUCCCCCAGGGAUCCAGUUGUCAAACAUUUACCAACACAUCCCUAAACUCCCUAGACUGUGUUCUACAAAAUCUUUGCAUUGAAUUUGAUGAAUUAAUUUCUAAACUAGUGAUAUUAAGCCACAUGGAGCAAUUUGUUAGGGGAAGUACUAGAAGGAAUGACGG
rnacentral:lncRNA from 1 species